AUAGUAUAGCAGCAGAUGAGGCCAUCUAGAGAGUGCUUACAUAAGCCAGUACCACAGCAUACUCACCAGCAGCCAGUGCUUAACAGGCAGACAUUUUGCUAAGGAAGGGAUGACAUGGACCAAGCCAAAAGCUAGUUUCUUGGCCUGCCACAGGAACAGUGAGGGAAAAGCCAAAGAUGAACUUUUGAAUAAUGAGGCUGAGAAUGACAAUCUAUAAGAGAGAUUAGAAUUGAAACAGCUGGUCAAUAUUAAAAUGCUGAGGGAAAGAAAUUGUAUUCGAGUGAACUGGGAAGGACUCAUCAUAUUCAUGCUCUAGAUUUUCUCAUCAGCCUUCAGUCGAAACUAUAACCUUCCCAUCUAUGCAGUUGAGUUCAGUUUUGUCCUGACUACUUGGAGCAUCAGGAUGACCCAGCAAGAAGGUUCUCAUCAGUGGCUGACCAGAUGCCAGAAACAUGCCAUUGGAGUGCCCAGCCUUCAGAACAUGCCUCCAAGCCUCUCCCCAAGUUAGCACCAGCACUUGGGAGAAAGUACUCUCCCUCAGCCUGGGAUGCUUCACUCUUCGGUGGAAAGAUUUUGUCUUCUACCUGAGGAAGAGAGUGAGACAGAGUAACAUAUACAUAGAACAACAAGGAUGGUCGUGUGAAAGAAAAAUCAAAGGAACAGUGUAAUAGAAAGACAGUCGAGCUGGCACUCCAACUGCUGGAGCUGCUCCUGUCUAUCCUGUCAAUACCCAGCUGUGUUAUGCCUUCUCACUCCAUCAAAACAUAAAAUAAAUAAAAGAAAAACGUAUGUGCUUGUAAUGAACAGACUCUAAAAGGGCCUUCAAUUAUACUCACCUUUUUGUAUUCAUAUUCUUGUGUAUUCCCCUUCCUUUGAGCAUGAGUGGGACCUGUAACUUGCUUCCAACCAGUGGGACAUGGCAAAAGUAAUGAGAUGUCACUUAUACAGUUACAUUAUAUAAGAAAUAGUAACUGUCUUGCAAAGAGAUUCCCUCCCUUGCUGGCUUGGCUAAAGCAGGUGACAAUGUUGAGGAGUUCCGCAUGGCAAGAAACUGAGAGUAGCCUCCAGGUAGUAGGCAGAAAGAAAGUGAGGCCCUCAAUCUAACAGCCUUUCAGGAAUUAAAUUCUGCCAACAACCACAUGAACUUAGAAAUAAAUCUUUCCCCGUUCAGACCUUCAGAUGAGAACUCAGCC
rnacentral:lncRNA from 1 species